GUUGCAUGUUCAAGCCCAUAGCAGAAGUGCUCAUGGUGUGGCCUGUCAGAUUCCAGUGAAUCUGCAAGUUUUGCU
rnacentral:ribozyme from 1 species